AUAGAGACUCAGAGCUGCAUAUCAAUAAGCGGAGGAAAAGAAACUAACUAGGAUUCCCUCAGUAACGGCGAGUGAAGCGGGAAGAGCUCAAAUUUGAAAUCUUCAAGGUUCUACCUUGACGAAUUGUAGUUUAAAGAAGUGUUUUCUGUUAGAUGAGUAGCAAAAGUUCCUUGGAAUGGGACAUCAUAGAGGGUGAGAAUCCCGUAUUUGGUUAUUCAUUCUAGCUUUGUGAUACACUUUCAAAGAGUCGGAUUGUUUGGGAAUGCAGUCCAAAAUGGGUGGUAAAUUUCAUCUAAAGCUAAAUAUUGGCGAGAGACCGAUAGCGAACAAGUACCGUGAGGGAAAGAUGAAAAGAACUUUGAAAAGAGAGUUAAACAGUACGUGAAAUUGUCAAAAGGGAAGCGUUUGACACCAGUGUUGUUUUUCCGAAAAUCAAUUACGAAUGGCUUGAUUUUGUGUUGUAUUGACCUUAUCAGCUUUCUGCACUUUUUUCGAGUCUUUCUUAAUGCACUUUUCGGUUAACAAGUCAACAUCAAUUUCUUUUGUUGUAAAAGAGUAUUCGGAAGGUGGCUUUCUUUUCGGAGAAAGUGUUUAUAGCCCUAUACUUCUACAAUCGGAGAGAUUGAGGUCUGCAGCGUAGAUCCUUCGGGGUUAGAUACAUUUGUGCUAAGUUAUAGCCUUUCAUAGACAACUUGUUGACUAUGUUUAGUCAUGCGGCUUACUCGCUUGUGCUAUUUUACCUACGCUUAGGAUGUUGACGAUCAGCUGAGCGCG
rnacentral:rRNA from 1 species